rnacentral:tRNA from 1 species
UCCCUGGUGACUCAGAUGGUAAAGUGUCUGCCUACAAUGCAGGAGACCCAGGUUCAAUCCCUGGGUUGGAAA